GUACACUCCUGCGGGAGGCAGCAGUGGGGAAUAUUGCACAAUGGGCGCAAGCCUGAUGCAGCCAUGCCGCGUGUAUGAAGAAGGCCUUCGGGUUGUAAAGUACUUUCAGCGGGGAGGAAGGCGAUAAGGUUAAUAACCUUGUCGAUUGACGUUACCCGCAGAAGAAGCACCGGCUAACUCCGUGCCAGCAGCCGCGGUAAUACGGAGGGUGCAAGCGUUAAUCGGAAUUACUGGGCGUAAAGCGCACGCAGGCGGUCUGUCAAGUCGGAUGUGAAAUCCCCGGGCUCAACCUGGGAACUGCAUUCGAAACUGGCAGGCUAGAGUCUUGUAGAGGGGGGUAGAAUUCCAGGUGUAGCGGUGAAAUGCGUAGAGAUCUGGAGGAAUACCGGUGGCGAAGGCGGCCCCCUGGACAAAGACUGACGCUCAGGUGCGAAAGCGUGGGGAGCAAACAGGAUUAGAAACCCCUGUAGUCC
rnacentral:rRNA from 1 species